GGGUCAGUAGGUUGGUCGUGCCACCGGUACGUACUGGUCUCACUGAUUCCUCCUUCCUGAAGAACCGUAAUGCCAUUAAUUUGGUGUUGCGGGGAAACAGGACUGUUACUUUGAAAAAAUUAGAGUGUUUAAAGCAAGCUAACGCUUGAAUACAUUAGCAUGGAAUAAUGAAAUAGGAAGAUCGAUCCUAUUUUGUUGGUUCCUAGGAUUGACGUA
rnacentral:rRNA from 1 species